rnacentral:tRNA from 1 species
UGAGGCUUUAGCCUAAUUAAGGCGGUUGAGUUGCAGUCAGUAGAUGUAGAUUAAAGUUCUACAGGCCUUC